CGCGGCCUAUCAGCUUGUUGGUGGGGUAACGGCCUACCAAGGCGAUUACGGGUAGCCGGCCUGAGAGGGCGACCGGCCACACUGGGACUGAGACACGGCCCAGACUCCUGCGGGAGGCAGCAGUGGGGAAUAUUGCGCAAUGGGCGAAAGCCUGACGCAGCGACGCCGCGUGGGGGAUGACGGCCUUCGGGUUGUAAACCUCUUUUACCACCAACGCAGGCUCCCGGUUCUCCGGGGGUUGACGGUAGGUGGGGAAUAAGGACCGGCUAACUACGUGCCAGCAGCCGCGGUAAUACGUAGGGUCCGAGCGUUGUCCGGAAUUAUUGGGCGUAAAGAGCUCGUAGGCGGCGUGUCGCGUCUGCUGUGAAAGACCGGGGCUUAACCCCGGUUCUGCAGUGGAUACGGGCAUGCUAGAGGUAGGUAGGGGAGACUGGAAUUCCUGGUGUAGCGGUGAAAUGCGCAGAUAUCAGGAGGAACACCGGUGGCGAAGGCGGGUCUCUGGGCCUUACCUGACGCUGAGGAGCGAAAGCAUGGGGAGCGAACAGGAUUAGAUACCCUGGUAGUCCAUGCUGUAAACGGUGGGCGCUAGGUGUGGGGCCACGUUGGUUGGUUCUGUGCCGUAGCUAACGCAUUAAGCGCCCCGCCUGGGGAGUACGG
rnacentral:rRNA from 1 species